rnacentral:lncRNA from 1 species
CUGUUUUUUGUAUUUUUAGAAAAGAUGGGGUUUCACCACAUCCAGGUUGGUCUCGAACUCCUGACCUUAAGUGAUCCACCUGCCUUGGCCUCCCAAAGUGCUGGGAUUUCACGCGUGAGCCACUGUGCCCUGGCAAUUAGCCUUUCAUAAAAUGCAUUUUAUAGUAAGUUUUUUUUUUUUUUUUUUUUUGUGAGGCAUCCCACUACAUACAUUUAAGUCUUAUUUCUACUGGGUAUGGUGGUAGAUGCCUGUAGGCCCAGCUACUCAGAAG